GCAAGCACUAAAAUCCAUCAAGGCUAAUCUUUUUCUAAAAGGCCAUUACUUUGCAUCACUAGAAACAUGAAUUCAUAUUUACACAUAAAUUCCUUCCUAGUUAUUCAAGAGCUUUCUCUCACUGCCUCUCAAAUAUUGUUUGUUGCCAGCUGGUGCUAUUUAGCUUAAGCUUGGCUCAAACAUAACACAUACUAACAAUUUUGUAACUUCUGGUUUCAUUUUGAAGUAAAUAGCUCACUGCCUUUAAUAAAUGUGGCAGUGCCGUCACCCAUGACAGUUGUUAGUUGCAUCUCUUUCUCAUGAAUCCGUUCAAGUUCAACCACCACCAUUUCCAUCUUUGGUCUUUCUAUACCUGGAAAACUCAUGCAUCGCAGCAUCAGUCUGAUCAAAUCCCUG
rnacentral:misc_RNA from 1 species